UUGCUCAUUUCAUCCUCAGACACACUUGUCACUGCCACACGGUGAGACAGCAAGUGCUUGCUUCUGUAGCAUUGGCAGUAGCACCGAGCAACUCCUCUCACAGCUCUUUGCUGCAGUCUGACACCGGGAAGUUGUCGGCAGGCCAGACAGUGCUGCAGGACAAGCAGGCACUUCUCAACAAAAUUUCUGGCUGUGUCAACAGAUGAUGAAAUUUAAAGACUAGGCAUCGCCACUGUUCAUUUGAAUGAUUGUGGUGCUUCAGCGCAUGCUGGUGUUUGGUGACAUAUGUAAUUUAUAGGAAUUUGUUUGUGUGUCUUGGGAGGGGGAAACGUAUCGUUGCAGAGAUCUGACGCCUCCUCUGUGUUGGUGGCCUUAUUUCAAAUCUUUUUGCAUGCCAAAUGGAAUAAGGUGCUUUCAGAAUCUGUAAAUGACCUGGCAGGAACCGAAUGAUUGUCCUUAAAGCCAUUUGUACUUUCUGUUUUGUGACCUUGAGAUCAGCGAUUGGGAAAGUUGUUCACAUGCCAUCUGCACCUGCUAGUUUUGCAAUGCAGCAAGAGGUCAUUUCCUUUCCAAACAUGACUGGCUUCUGAUACCAGUUGGAAAUUGGCAGCUCUUAUAUGAAAGCAGUAGAUUCCAGUUUCUUCUUUUGGCUUUUCACUGAGAUAGGAAAGGAGUUGUUAUUGUUACGGCCCCAGUGCUGUGUCAGAGCUCUCUUCCCCACAUAACGGCUUUUUCAGUCACUCAAAAACAGUUUGUCAAUAGUAUAUGGCAUCAUAUCUUGCAUUGUAUAAUAUUAUAUUGCCCUGAGAUAUUUUUUUCCCAGUAUCACAGCCUUAAUUCCAAACAGAGCUGCACAACCUACAGCAAAAAUACUUGCCUUUUAUUUUGUCUCAUGGCCUUUCUUUCUCAUUUCUGUGAGAGAAGAGGAGACUGCAGAAUAGAGUUGCUAUCUAGACCUCCAUGUGGUAGGGCUUAAGAAACAACAUAGCAGGAUCAAAGUGCGCUUUUCUCCUUAUUCCUUGGCUAUAUCAAAAAGAUGAGAUAAAGGGGUGUUUGUUGUUCUUCUAAUUCUCUUCUCCAGAGAGGAUGGAAGCUGUUGCAACUUCUUUAUAAGAUGUCCUUAAUAUCGUCAUUGAUGCAGACUGAUACGGAACUGGCUCUUGACUUGUAGAAAGUCAUUUAUCUCAAACCUGAACUGCACAAGCUAAGGUCUGUUCAGGACGAGAUCUUCCUGCCACAAGAUGGGAGAAACCGAAGCUGCUUCAUCAGUGAAAAGGUCUCAGGAAAAGGUCUGCACUGAUGAAUUAGUGCAACAACACUACCAGCCAUAAAAGAAUACAUCUUAAGAGAAAAUCCAACGGUGACUUCUAGGCUGGAUUGGUCAUCCCUCACCCACAGUGCAGAUGCAUUCAAUUACUGCCCUGAGCUUGCAGUGUUCAACUGCUUCCACUAGGCUUGUGCAACAAAAGGUCUAACUACCAACCCCCCUGCUUCCUCCGUGGCACCUCAUGCAAUACAGAAUGUGGUCUUGUCAGUUUUGCAGCAGGUUGGGAAAUCAAGAUCUGAACUGUGUCAACACUGCCAAAAAGUAAAGAAAGAUAUCAGAGUUUUUCAGCUUAAUCUGCUUCUCAAAAUAAUCUUCUACUUCGAAUUUGAGUUACAGUUACCUCGAGAACUCCCAUGUGCUCACCACAGCACUGAAGCAAAACUGGGCCUGGAUUCUGAAGAGAAGAGCCAGAACAAGGUGCUAGAUCUCCUUCCAUAAGUUUCCCAACAGAGAUUUACCUGGCCAGAGUUAGAUGGCUGCUCUUCAAGGAGAAUGCCCUUCCCAUCCCACCAAAUGCUCUUGACACUUGACCCUGCUUGUACCUAUUGCUGCUGCCUGUGACUGGAACCAAGGUGAAACCUCAGGCUCUGGUCUCCUCGCUGCAGGAUGAAAAAGCACAGGCUGUAUGAAGCAGAAAUAAGAGGUAGAGAUGGACAUCAGGUGAUUCCUGGUGAUUUUCAGACCUGUAAAUUCUAUUACACCAUCUAGUUACCCGCUUCCUGCAAUGUGUGCCAGUGGGCCAGCACUUUUAAAUGGUUCCAGAAUACCAUUUCCCUCCCCACUUCUGUUUUUCUGACAUCAGACUGUACCUGAGUGUUGGUUCAUUGGUUCUGUCCCUCACAGUGGCACCCAAAGGUCCAUCAGCAACUUACUUCUUCCUUGCCCUUUGCUUCCUAAAUCAAGAAUUAAUAAAGAAGAGAAGAAGGUGCCAACACCAUUUUAGAUGUGCUGCCAGCACAUCCGAAACGGGCUGCUUGUAUUGUCAGAAAAAAAAACACCUCAAUAGCUGAAAAGCACUGCAGAGAGAUUAAAUACAUGGGAGGAUUGUGAGCAAUACAGGAGAGACAUGCUGCUAUUGAUAAGUCAAAAACACUGUUUGUUUGUUCCCCAGCACUCUCAGUAUUAAAAGAGUCAUUUGCAACGUCUCAGCUUGCUGUUGUGUAUUCCUGGUACCUGACCUUCUCAGUCUGGCUGUUGUGCAUCUGUUAGCCUGUGACCUUCCCACUGCAUGGAUCAGAUAUUGAGAAAGCAGGGGAGAAGGAAGAGCAGAGGAAGGCAGUGAGAGACAAGCAAGGCAUCUCGGACCAUCCAGUGGUUCACGGUGUUCAGGACAAACCAUGAACAUCCACUUAAGCAAGGAGGAGGAACAGGACACGUGAUACACUGACAGUAAAAUUAUCGCUCUGAUCCCAGCGAGGAACCAGGCAGGGGUCCUGAGCCUGUUCAUCUGGUUAAACAGGCACACGUGCAGAAGCUGUGACAGCAACAGAUGACCUCAGCCUACAACAUGGACAGUGGAAGGUCAUCCCUGCACCUCCCUGCAGAGCUGACAGAGACCCACCUUUUGUGCUGCCCCCCAGAGCUGACACCCAGCCUGGAAGUGGCAGGUUACCAUACCUCCAUGCCGCUGCUUCAGUCACACAGAUAAAAUAUGCUCUUCUCAGACACAGAAGCUAUUACUUCUCUGCGAUGAAACUGCAUCCCACACUCUGAUUAACCCGUGCCCUACUUCAGAAGCAAAUUUAAUUUGCAGCUUUCAUAGUUAGCUAGCGCUGGUGUUGGUUUGUUCCUGUGCCUGCUCUGAGUUCACUGGAUCUGUACAGUGCCAAGUAUGGCAGAGACCUAUUUACCAUGGCCUAUAAGCAUUAUUCCUCAGGAAAAGAAAAAAAAAAAAAAAAA